rnacentral:tRNA from 1 species
AAAACUUUAAGUUAAAAAAACUAAUAGCCUUCAAAGCUUUAAUUAUAAUUUAUUUUUUAAGUUUUA